rnacentral:piRNA from 1 species
UGAUGUUCUUAAGUUUCCAGUUCGCCUAGCC